GAAGAUUCCUUUAGUUGGUGCAAGGACGAAAGCAAAAGGCAUUAUGCGUAAUUAAAACAACAAAGGAAAAGGCAGUGCCAGCAGAAAAAAAAAGAUGAUAAUCAAUUAUGGGCCAACAAAGGAAAAGGCAGUGCCAACAAAGGAAAAGGCAGUGCCAACAAAGGAAGAUGCGUAAUUUUGAUUUGAGCCCCAAUAUUUCUUGGGUCUUUUACACACUUCCCUCCUAUCCAGUUUCCCUUUAUUUGAUCCGAUCUCAUUCCAUCUCUCAUCUAUUAUUGCCGUUCAUUCCACUGGCAUAGCGUUGUAUUAUAUGGCAGCUGCGAGCACCUGAGUUGGUUGGUGGCAGCAAGUUCGAGUCAAGGCGGCCGUGGAAGUUGCAUAACGUCGCAGAAGCACGAUCUGGGGACGACCAGCAGCGACUCCAUCCAAGUUCCUGCCUGGCUGUGGCAGCUCUUGAUUCCCAUCAAGAAGAACCUAGGACAAAUCCUUGCAUGGAGGUGGUGACAGGUGCACUGCCAAGCGUUAUCACCAAGCUGGGUGAACUUCUCAUUGGCGAGUACAAUCUGCAGAAGGGGCUGAAGGGGGAGAUCAGGUUUCUCCAAUCGGAGCUCGAGAGUAUGAAGGGUGCCCUUGAGAAGGUCUCUAGCACACCGGGCGACCGGCUUGACAUUCAAGACAAGAUCUGGGCUAGGGAUUUGAGGGAGCUGUCCUAUGAUAUAGAGGACGGUAUUGACACAUUCAUGGUCCGUGGGCAGGGUAAAGAGCAGGGCAAUCUGCAUGGCAUCAAGAAGUUCAUUGAUAGAAGUGUUGGUUUGUUUAGAAAGGCCAAGAUUCGCCAUGGGAUGGCCACUGAGAUCAGAGACAUCAAGACCCGUGUCGAAGAGGUAGCCAAGCGGCAUGGAAGGUACAAGAUCAACAGUGAUGUUGCUAUGCCUGUCAUGAUCGAUCCACGUUUAUUCAGUCAGUACACGGAGGCGAAAGAGCUUGUUGGAGUUGAUGAGGCAAGAGAUGAGCUAAUCAAGGCUCUAGAAGAAGAGAAUGAAGUGUCCAUGCAGCAGCAUGGAAAGAUAGUUUCCAUUGUUGGAUUUGGAGGACUGGGAAAGACAACUCUUGCAAAUGCAGUUUAUGAAAAGAUUAGAGCACGAUUCGAUUGGCAUUGUUUUACAUGCGGGAGGGAGGAGGAAUUGCCAGCAGCGAUGGUGGCCUCGACUUGGGCCUGGGGAACCUGCCAUCGCUGCAGUGGGUCGCGGCUGACCUCCAGUGUGCGGGCGCUAACAAGGCGGAGCAAGCCAAGGCUGCACUGACGCUGGCAGCUAGAAUGCAUCCCAAUCAUCCCAACCAUGAUAUAAAUAUUCAAAUAUGAAGGUGCGUAGAUCCUCUAGGUGGAGCUGCUCCAUGAUGGAGACGGUGGAGCGGAGUUAAAUUUCGUGGAGUGGAGCACUCGUAAAUGGACCCUUAUUCCUUCUAAAUAGGCCUUUGCUUCUGUCCUUUCCCAUUUCUUCUAAACUUAAUUGCUUCUGUCCACCUUAGCUCCAGUUGUUCUUUCUCCGUUAUUCUAACACAUCCUCCCCACUUUAUUUCCUUCUAAUCAUCUUUUUUUUAGUUGUGUUUAUAUCCUCAAAAGUAGGAUGGAGAGAGAUAGUGGGAUUACAAUAAUCUGGGUGCUAAGGUUUUUAUAAUCUAUCCAAUUACCUGGUGUGUUUAGCUCUCAUAAAGACUUUUUAGCCAAUAAUAAAAUACAAUCGCUUUGUCUUUUUUUACAUCAUUAUGGAGUGCAAAAAUAAUAUAGCAAAAUAUAUGGUCUUUGUUUCUGAUUGGACUUCUAUUAUGUUUUGGCAAAGAUUCUGAUUGGACUUCUAUUAUAUUUUGCCUAUUUGAACUCGGAGAGUUUUACUUCAACGAGCUCAUAAUCAGAAGUAUGAUCCAACCGAUACAUAACUCAUCAACUGGCAUGUUAUACAUUGAUGACUCCGCCAUAAACAUUAUAGAAGAGUUGGGCGAGCUAACUGGAACUGAGGCGGCUGUGGAUUAAAUUGGAGGAGUGGAAUGACAAGCUGUUAGAGUGCCUGCACAAGCUACAAAAGAUUCAGGAACUGUGUAUCAAUCAUGCUCCAUCAUCCUCACCGCAGCAUAGGUGGAUUGGAUAUCUGGGUUGCCCCUCGACGUCUCCGUGACUUGGUUACACAAUACAGUUGUUGGUUUUCAACACUGCCAGCUUGGGUGAAUCCAUCGCUUGUUCCGGAUCUCACCUGUCUAACCAUCGCCGUGAGGGAGCUGCAUCAGGGCGACCUCGAAAUCCUCUGGAGGUUGCCAGCUCUCCGCUAUGUAAAUCUGGAGGUGGACAAUAAGAACCUGGGCAUCCUUCAGGGAUUCGUUAUUGGUGCUGGUUCCUUCCCGUGCCUCGUAAGCUGUUGGUUCUCGCGAUUUGUAUGGCCAGUGGUGUUUUAACAAGAAGCUAUGCCAAGGCUCAGAGAGCUUCGGCUCUGGCCGUUGUUUUAUGUGCGGGAGGCAAGAGGAAUGGCCAGCAGCGAUGGUGGUCUCGAUUUUGGCCUAGGGAACCUGCUAUCACUGCAGGAAGUCAAGAUUGAAAUCCUACGUGCAGGCGCUAUCAAGGAGGCGGCGGAGCAAGCCAUGGUCCCGCUGACGCAUAUUCAGAUGAGGAAUAGCGAACCGGAGAAAAGAUUUGAGUUAAUGCAAAUGAUAAGUUUCUCGUAGAUAACAAGUUCCUCUGCUUCGCCACAUCUGCAGAGAUUAAAUUGGUCAACCAUGGACAGUACCAAACAACUCGAAAGUAGGAUGGAGAGAGAUAGUGGGAUUACAAUAAUCUGGGUGCUAAGGUUUUUAUAAUCUAUCCAAUUACCUAGUGUGUUAAGCUCUCAUAAAGACUUUUUAGCCAUUAAUAAAAUACAAUUGCUUUGUCUUUUUUA